rnacentral:rRNA from 1 species
GAUGAACGCUGGCGGCGUGCCUAAUACAUGCAAGUCGAGCGAACAGAUGAGGAUCUUGCUCCUCUCACGUUAGCGGCGGACGUGUGUGUAACACGUGGAUAACCUCCCUAUCAUACUGGUAUAACUUCGGGAAACCGGCGCUAAUCCCGGAUAAUAUCUUGAACCGCAUGGGUCAAUAGUGAAAUACGGCUUUGCUGUCACUUCUAGAUGGAUCCGCGCCGCAUUAGCUAGUUGGUAAGGUAACGGCGUACCAAGGCAACGAUGCGUAGCCGACCUGAGAGGGUGAUAGGCGACAUGGGAAGGGAACCAGGGUCAAGAGGACUAAGAGAGGGAGCAGAAGGGAAUGUUACGCAAUGGGCGAAAGUAUGACGGAGUAAGGCCGCGUGAGAGAUGAAGGUCUUCGGAGCGGAAAAAUCGGUUAUGAGGGAAGAACAAAUGUGGAAGUAAAUAUGCACGGAUUGACGGUAAUGGAUCAGAAAGCAACGGCUAACUACGUG